GUUAAUAGCAGCUUCUUCCCUGAGGAAGGUUUUGAACUGGAGUACUUGAGAAGAAACUUACAACAGAGCAGCCUAGAGUGCCACCCCGUCCCUUUUAAUUAGCACACAUGAAUAGUAUUUAAUGUAAAAUAUCUAUCAACAUUUGUCUAUGAAGACAAAAAACCUGGAAGCCAAUGUCCGGAACUGUUUUCUCCUGUCUCACUUCUUUCCCAGCAUGUUACUGAAGACACUGGAAAAAAGAGAAGGGCUGAAUCAAUUUGGAAAACUGUGCAUUCUUCUGAACACUUGGACACUGCUAGCUUCCCAUGUGUGGGAGGAAUAUUUUACUGCCCA